UCCCUCUACUCAUAAAGAUGUCAAACUGGCCCUUCAAAUUAUUGAAAUAUUCCAACAUGGUUUCAACAUUCAUUUAACUACUAGCUUGUCAUUUCAAUGGAUAAAAAUGCCCCUCCCUCAUGUAGAUAGUUUGAAAUGGGUUUCAACUACCCCCUCCCAAUUCUAAGGAUUCUUCCUUUCGACUCUUUUGCUUACGUCUUCCUUUCUUCAAUGAAUUUUUGGUGGCCAUCAAUAAUCCCACCCUCCGCUCAGGUUUGACUAUCCAUCCUUACUCAUGC
rnacentral:lncRNA from 1 species